rnacentral:rRNA from 1 species
UAAUNCCGCAUACGCUCUACGGAGGAAAGGGGGGGAUCUUAGGACCUCUCGCUACAGGGGCGGCCGAUGGCAGAUUAGCUAGUUGGUGGGGUAAAGGCCUACCAAGGCGACGAUCUGUAGCUGGUCUGAGAGGACGACCAGCCACACUGGGACUGAGACACGGCCCAGACUCCUACGGGAGGCAGCAGUGGGGAAUUUUGGACAAUGGGCGCAAGCCUGAUCCAGCAACGCCGCGUGUGUGAAGAAGGCCUUCGGGUUGUAAAGCACUUUUGUCCGGAAAGAAAACUUCCUGGUUAAUACCCGGGGAGGAUGACGGUACCGGAAGAAUAAGCACCGGCUAACUACGUGCCAGCAGCCGCGGUAAUACGUAGGGUGCAAGCGUUAAUCGGAAUUACUGGGCGUAAAGCGUGCGCAGGCGGUCCGCUAAGACAGAUGUGAAAUCCCCGGGCUUAACCUGGGAACUGCAUUUGUGACUG